rnacentral:rRNA from 1 species
UUGGGUAGGGGAGCGUUCUGUAAGCCUGUGAAGGUGGCCUGUGAGGGUUGCUGGAGGUAUCAGAAGUGCGAAUGCUGACAUAAGUAACGAUAAAGCGGGUGAAAAGCCCGCUCGCCGGAAGACCAAGGGUUCCUGUCCAACGUUAAUCGGGGCAGGGUGAGUCGACCCCUAAGGCGAGGCCGAAAGGCGUAGUCGAUGGGAAACGGGUUAAUAUUCCCGUACUUGGUGUUACUGCGAAGGGGGGACGGAGAAGGCUAUGUUGGCCGGGCGACGGUUGUCCCGGUUUAAGCGUGUAGGUGUGUGUUCCAGGUAAAUCCGGUUCACUUUAACACUGAGGCGUGAUGACGAGGCACUACGGUGCUGAAGCAACAAAUGCCCUGCUUCCAGGAAAAGCCUCUAAGCAUCAGGUAACAUCAAAUCGUACCCCAAACCGACACAGGUGGUCAGGUAGAGAAUACCAAGGCGCUUGAGAGAACUCGGGUGAAGGAACUAGGCAAAAUGGUGCCGUAACU